AAGCAAUCAUAAAUAAAACAGGAGCUUGGAAUAUGCCUGGAACUGCUUUGGUCAUACAAAAGUCAAGGCUUUCUUUUUGGCGUCACUCACUCUAAUUUGAUUCAUUUUUUUCUUUCUUUUUCCAAUUGAAGCAUAGGCAAGG
rnacentral:lncRNA from 1 species